rnacentral:rRNA from 1 species
AUUGAACGCUGGCGGCAUGCCUUACACAUGCAAGUCGAACGGUAACAGGUCUUCGGAUGCUGACGAGUGGCGAACGGGUGAGUAAUACAUCGGAACGUGCCCAGACGUGGGGGAUAACGAGGCGAAAGCUUUGCUAAUACCGCAUACGAUCUAAGGAUGAAAGCAGGGGACCGCAAGGCCUUGCGCGUUUGGAGCGGCUGAUGGCAGAUUAGGUAGUUGGUGGGAUAAAAGCUUACCAAGCCGACGAUCUGUAGCUGGUCUGAGAGGACGACCAGCCACACUGGGACUGAGACACGGCCCAGACUCCUACGGGAGGCAGCAGUGGGGAAUUUUGGACAAUGGGCGAAAGCCUGAUCCAGCAAUGCCGCGUGCAGGAUGAAGGCCUUCGGUU